ACGGGUGAGUAAUAUAUCGGAACGUGCCCAGUCGUGGGGGAUAACGCAGCGAAAGCUGUGCUAAUACCGCAUACGAUCUCUGGAUGAAAGCGGGGGACCGCAAGGCCUCGCGCGAUUGGAGCGGCCGAUAUCAGAUUAGCUAGUUGGUGGGGUAAAGGCCCACCAAGGCGACGAUCUGUAGCUGGUCUGAGAGGACGACCAGCCACACUGGAACUGAGACACGGUCCAGACUCCUACGGGAGGCAGCAGUGGGGAAUUUUGGACAAUGGGCGCAAGCCUGAUCCAGCAAUGCCGCGUGCAGGAUGAAGGCCUUCGGGUUGUAAACUGCUUUUGUACGGAACGAAACGGUCCUUUCUAAUACAGGGGGCUAAUGACGGUACCGUAAGAAUAAGCACCGGCUAACUACGUGCAGCAGCCUCGGUAAUACGUAGGGUGCGAGCGUUAAUCGGAAUUACUGGGCGUAAAGCGUGCGCAGGCGGUAAUGUAAGACAGAUGUGAAAUCCCCGGGCUUAACCUGGGACCUGCAUUUGUGACUGCAUUGCUGGAGUGCGGCAGAGGGGGAUGGAAUUCCGCGUGUAGCAGUG
rnacentral:rRNA from 1 species